GGUAAUAGCUGAUAAUACCUAUUCCUGUAUAAGUCUGAAUUAUUGGUGACAUCUGAGCAGUAACCAUAGUGAUAUGGGGGAAAGAACCACGUGGAUUUUGAGGCAUGUUUGGGGAACAUAGGAGAGUUUUGGCUGGGGAGAUUACAACUCAUAUUUUAAAGGAAUCAUCUGAUUGCUGUAAGAAGGGUCUACUGG